rnacentral:rRNA from 1 species
AGAGUUUGAUCCUGGCUCAGGACGAACGCUGGCGGCGCGCCUAACACAUGCAAGUCGAACGAGCGAGAGAGAGCUUGCUUUCUCGAGCGAGUGGCGAACGGGUGAGUAACGCGUGAGGAACCUGCCUCAAAGAGGGGGACAACAGUUGGAAACGACUGCUAAUACCGCAUAAGCCCACGGCUCGGCAUCGAGCAGAGGGAAAAGGAGCAAUCCGCUUUGAGAUGGCCUCGCGUCCGAUUAGCUAGUUGGUGAGGUAACGGCCCACCAAGGCGACGAUCGGUAGCCGGACUGAGAGGUUGAACGGCCACAUUGGGACUGAGACACGGCCCAGACUCCUACGGGAGGCAGCAGUGGGGAAUAUUGCACAAUGGGGGAAACCCUGAUGCAGCGACGCCGCGUGGAGGAAGAAGGUCUUCGGAUUGUAAACUCCUGUUGUUGAGGAAGAUAAUGACGGUACUCAACAAGGAAGUGACGGCUAACUACGUGCCAGCAGCCGCGGUAAAACGUAGGUCACAAGCGUUGUCCGGAAUUACUGGGUGUAAAGGGAGCGCAGGCGGGAAGGCAAGUUGGAAGUGAAAUCCAUGGGCUCAACCCAUGAACUGCUUUCAAAACUGUUUUUCUUGAGUAGUGCAGAGGUAGGCGGAAUUCCCGGUGUAGCGGUGGAAUGCGUAGAUAUCGGGAGGAACACCAGUGGCGAAGGCGGCCUACUGGGCACCAACUGACGCUGAGGCUCGAAAGUGUGGGUAGCAAACAGGAUUAGAUACCCCGGUAGU